rnacentral:rRNA from 1 species
GAGUAAGUGAAUAAGGGCGCACGGGGGAUGCCUAGGCUCUCAGAGGCGAAGAAGGACGUGCCAAGCUGCGAAAAGCUGCGGGGAUCGGCACAGGCGAAUUGAUCCGCAGAUGUCCGAAUGGGGCAACCCACCCGCCAUUGGCGGGUAUCCAUGUAAAUGGAGGCGAACGUGGGGAACUGAAACAUCUAAGUACCCAUAGGAGGAGAAAACAACAGUGAUUCCGUCAGUAGUGGCGAGCGAACGCGGAACAGCCCAAACCGUACAUGUUACGGCAUGUACGGGGUAAUAGGACCUGCAUAAUUUACAUACAGCGAACGUGAAAUGCCUGGGAAGGCAUACCGAAGGGGGUGAUAGUCCCGUAACGGCAAGUUUUAUGUGGAGGCGGGUAUCCUGAGUAGGCCGGGACAGGAGAAAUCCCGGUUGAAUUUGCCGGCACCAUCCGGUAAGGCUAAAUACUCCUGAGAGACCGAUAGUGUACAAGUACCGUGAGGGAAAGGUGAAAAGUACCGUGAAUAACGGGGUGAAAUAGAACCUGAAACCGUGCGCUUACAAGCGGUCGGAGCUACUUAGUGUAGUGACGGCGUGCCUUUUGCAUAAUGAGCCUACGAGUUACUCCUCACUGGCGAGGGUAAGUGGUUAAGCCACGUACCCGGAGCGAAAGCGAGUCUGAACAGGGCGCUUAGUCAGUGGGGGUAGACGCGAAACUUAGUGAUCUACCCAUGGACAGGUUGAAGCUCCGGUAAAACGGAGUGGAGGACCGAACCGAUAAACGUUGAAAAGUUUCCGGAUGAUCUGUGGGUAGGGGUGAAAGGCCAAUCAAACUGAGAAAUAGCUCGUACUCCCCGAAAUGUUUUUAGGAACAGCGUCAGGGAAAGUAUCACGGAGGUAGAGCUACCGAUAGGACUAGGGGGAGUCACAUCCUACCAAAUCCUGACGAACUCCGAAUGCCGUGAUAUUGUACUGGCAGUGAGGGCUGGGGUGCUAAGGUCCCAGUCCGAGAGGGAAAGAACCCAGACCUACCGCUAAGGUCCCCAAAUAUGUGCUAAGUUGAACAAAGGUGGUCCAGUUGCAGAGACAGCCAGGAGGUUAGCUUGGAAGCAGCUAUUCCUUUAAAGAGUGCGUAACAGCUCACUGGUCGAGCGACAGGGCGUCGAUGAUAAUCGGGCAUCAAGCACAUUACCGAAGCGUAGGAUUGCAGCAAUGCAGUGGUAGGGGAGCAUUCCAAUGACAGUGAAGGUCAAUCGGUUGNNNNNNNNNNNNNNNNNNNNNNNNNNNNNNNNNNNNNNNNNNNNNNNNNNNNNNNNNNNNNNNNNNNNNNNNNNNNNNNNNNNNNNNNNNNNUCGUCAGGUUGGCUGGAGAUAUUGGAAAAGCAAAUGUAGGCAUAAGUAACGAUAAGGCGGGCGAGAAACCCGCCCACCGAUAGACCAAGGUUUCCUGAUCAACGCUAAUCGGAUCAGGGUCAGUCUGGACCUAAGGCGAACCCGAAGGGGGCAGUCGAUGGACAACGGGUUAAUAUUCCCGUACCGUAUAUACAGGCAAUGGAGGGACGGAGUGAUGAAAGUUCCGCCCGGUGACGGAAUACCGGGUUGAAGGGUGUAGGUAUUGGGGGUGUAGUCAAAUGCGCACCUUUAGCCGAACCUGAUAGUACCGCAAUCCUUCGGGAGCGCGGAUAGCGGACCUAAGAACUUCCAAGAAAAUCUUCUAGCGUUAAGCGUAUAUAUGCCAGUACCGCAAACCGACACAGGUGGUCAAGGAGAGAAUCCUGAGGUGCUCGAGUGAAUCAUGGCUAAGGAACUCGGCAAAAUGGCCCUGUAACUUCGGGAGAAGGGGCGCCUACCCCCCAGCAAUGGGGGGAGGCCGCAGUGAAAAGGCCCAGGCGACUGUUUAUCAAAAACACAUGGCUUUGCGAAGUGGAAACACAAAGUAUAAGGCCUGACACCUGCCCGGUGCCGGAAGGUUAAGGGGGGGCGUUAUCGUAAGAGAAGCGCUGAACUGAAGCCCCGGUAAACGGCGGCCGUAACUAUAACGGUCCUAAGGUAGCGAAAUUCCUUGUCGGGUAAGUUCCGACCUGCACGAAUGGUGUAACGAUCUGGGCACUGUCUCGGCCAUGAGCUCGGUGAAAUUGUAGUCGCGGUGAAGAUGCCGCGUACCCGCAACGGGACGGAAAGACCCCAUGAACCUUUACUGCAGCUUAGCAUUGGCAUUGGGUAAACGAUGUGUAGGAUAGGCCGGAGGCUAUGAAGCGGCGUCGCCAGGCGUUGUGGAGCCACUGUUGAAAUACGGCCCUUUGUUUGCUUGGUGUCUAAUCCGCCGUAGGCGGAGACAUUGCUUGGUGGGUAGUUUGACUGGGGUGGUCGCCUCCAAAAGAGUAACGGAGGCUUCCAAAGGUUCCCUCAGCACGCUUGGUAACCGUGCGCGGAGUGCAAUAGCAUAAGGGAGCUUGACUGCGAGGCCGACAAGCCGAGCAGGGUGGAAACACGGGUAUAGUGAUCCGGCGGUACCGUAUGGAAGGGCCGUCGCUCAAAGGAUAAAAGGUACUCUGGGGAUAACAGGCUGAUCUCCCCCAAGAGCUCAUAUCGACGGGGAGGUUUGGCACCUCGAUGUCGGCUCGUCACAUCCUGGGGCUGGAGAAGGUCCCAAGGGUUGGGCUGUUCGCCCAUUAAAGUGGCACGCGAGCUGGGUUCAGAACGUCGUGAGACAGUUCGGUCCCUAUCUGUUGCGGGCGUGGGAAACUUGAGAGGAUCUGACCUUAGUACGAGAGGACCGGGUUGGACGGACCGCUGGUGUACCGGUUGUGGUGCCAACUGCACUGCCGGGUAGCUACGUCCGGAAGGGAUAAGCGCUGAAAGCAUCUAAGUGCGAAACCCACCUCGAGAUGAGGUUUCCGUAUAGGGUUGUCAUAGACGAUGACGUUGAUAGGCUGCAGGUGUAAAGCCGGAGACGGCAUAGCUGAGCAGUACUAAUUGCCCGAAAGCUUACCUGU